rnacentral:rRNA from 1 species
CCCUUAGAUGUUCUGGGCUGCACACGUGCUACACUGGCAGGUUCAGCGAGCUUCAUGCCCUGAUCUGAAAGGAAUGGGAAAUCUUUUCAAAACCUGCCGUGCUUGGGAUAGAUGUUUGCAAUUAUUCAUCUUCAACGAGGAUUGCCUUGUAAGCGCACGUCAUCAGCUUGCAUUGAAUACGACCCUGUAUUCUGUACACACCGCCCGUCGCUCCUACCGAUUGAAGUUUUCGGUGAGUUGACAGGAGGAUUUUUUUGAAACUGGUUCGCCAGUGGAUUUUAGAUCCAAAUGCCAACGAAUCGAUGGCUUUAGAGGAAGGAGAAGUCGUAACA